UACAGAGGGGGGCAAGCGUUGUUCGGAAUUACUGGGCGUAAAGGGCGCGUAGGCGGCCCGCUAAGUCGAACGUGAAAUCCCCAGGCUCAACCUGGGAACUGCGUCCGAUACUGGCAGGCUUGAAUCCGGGAGAGGGAUGUGGAAUUCCAGGUGUAGCGGUGAAAUGCGUAGAUAUCUGGAGGAACACCGGUGGCGAAGGCGGCAUCCUGGACCGGUAUUGACGCUGAGGCGCGAAAGCUAGGGGAGCAAACGGG
rnacentral:rRNA from 1 species